rnacentral:misc_RNA from 1 species
AGUCACGUGGCGCGUUCGCCGGGGGCGCAUCACUCUUAAGGGUGGUAUCGCUGCGAGAACUAAAACAAACACGACCAAGAAGUAUAUGCCAAUAACAGUGAAAAAGUGAAAAACUUAGGCAACUAUUUCGUUCAGUCAAGUUGUAUAAAAUCCUUAAGAGUGAUGUCCUCCGGAAAGAUAUAAUUAACUAUAGGUACUUAAAAAUUAUAUUAAUUGAAGCUUUAUAUUGAAUUCUACGAUUCUCUACAAGAUAAUAGAGAUAUUGUAUUAAAUACAACAACCUAUCUAAAGAAUAUCAAUAUAAGACAUAUCAAGUUAAAAUUAUCAUAUAGGUCUUAAGGUAUAAUGUAUAGCGUAGGAUAAUACUUAAAUUAUUUUAUCUUCGUGUGUCAAAUACAUAAAAUAUUGUGGAGGCUGCUAUUGGUGGAUGAACAUCUAGAUCUGUGGAAGUAUAGACCAAUGACGGCUGAGGUUACGCGCAGCCGUAGCUACGCCGUAGAGCGGCGCGGGGCGCUACACGAUCGACAGACGCUACGACGGACCUGCUACGCCUAGGAACA